GACGAACGCUGGCGGCGUGCUUAACACAUGCCAGUCGAACGGAAAGGCCCUGCUUUUGUGGGGUGCUCGAGUGGCGAACGGGUGAGUAACACGUGAGUAACCUGCCCUUGACUUUGGGAUAACUUCAGGAAACUGGGGCUAAUACCGGAUAGGAGCUCCUGCUGCAUGGUGUGGGUUGGAACGUUUCGGCGGUUGGGGAUGGACUCGCGGCUUAUCAGCUUGUUGGUGGGGUAGUGGCUUACCAAGGCUUUGACGGGUAGCCGGCCUGAGAGGGUGACCGGCCACAUUGGGACUGAGAUACGGCCCAGACUCCUACGGGAGGCAGCAGUGGGGAAUAUUGCACAAUGGGCGGAAGCCUGAUGCAGCAACGCCGCGUGCGGGAUGACGGCCUUCGGGUUGUAAACCGCUUUCGCCUGUGACGAAGCGUGAGUGACGGUAAUGGGUAAAGAAGCACCGGCUAACUACGUG
rnacentral:rRNA from 1 species